rnacentral:rRNA from 1 species
UGACACUGAACAUUGAGCCUUGAUGUGUAGGAUAGGUGGGAGGCUUUGAAGUGUGGACGCCAGUCUGCAUGGAGCCGACCUUGAAAUACCACCCUUUAAUGUUUGAUGUUCUAACGUGGACCCGUUACCCGGGUUGCGGACAGUGUCUGGUGGGUAGUUUGACUGGGGCGGUCUCCUCCUAAAGAGUAACGGAGGAGCACGAAGGUUGGCUAAUCCUGGUCGGACAUCAGGAGGUUAGUGCAAUGGCAUAAGCCA